GUGCCAGCAGCCGCGGUAAUACGGAGGGAGCUAGCGUUAUUCGGAAUUACUGGGCGUAAAGCGCACGUAGGCGGCUUUGUAAGUUAGAGGUGAAAGCCUGGAGCUCAACUCCAGAAUUGCCUUUAAGACUGCAUCGCUUGAAUCCAGGAGAGGUGAGUGGAAUUCCGAGUGUAGAGGUGAAAUUCGUAGAUAUUCGGAAGAACACCAGUGGCGAAGGCGGCUCACUGGACUGGUAUUGACGCUGAGGUGCGAAAGCGUGGGUAGCAAACAGGAUUAGAUAC
rnacentral:rRNA from 1 species